GCGGUGAGGCGGUGAAUGUCUUUGCUUUUUGUUUUCUGUCAAAGCCACUUCUUUCUACUUUUCCUUCCAUGUUAAGUUUGCUAUUUUCUUCUUUUAAAAUUUAUUUUAGCUCUUUUCCAUAAGUUCAUAAAAACCUACAAAAAUAAUGGGAAAUAGGUGAAAGUAGGUAAAAUAGAUAAUAUGUUAUAAAAACUAAUAUUUUCAAAUAGUUGAAGUUUUUACUUUAAAUUGCUUAUAAAAAAAGUUAAUAAGUGCUUAAAAUAUAUAGGUAAAAUCAUUGUUUUUGAGCACUUAUCAAGUAAGUGUACUAAAUUGUCGUUCAAGUAAUAAUAUUCAUAAUAAAGAUUUGUUUCCACUGAGAUUGCUUAUUUCGACAAUUCAAUUAAAAUAGAUUUAGGAUUAAAACAAUAAUUUCAAGG
rnacentral:lncRNA from 1 species